ensembl:lncRNA
UCCACUGUCCCUAUAGUCCCUAUUGUCCCCACUGUCCCCAAUGUCCCUAAUGUCCCCAUUAUCCUCACAGUCCCCAUUGUCCCCAUUGUCCCCAAUUUCCCCAAUGUCCCCACAGUCCCCAAUGUCCCCAUUGUCUCCAUUGUCCCCAAUGUCCCCACUGUCUCCACUGUCCCCAUUGUCUCCACUGCCCCCACAGUCCCCACUGUCCUCACUGUCCCCAUUAUCCCCACUGUCCCCAUUGACCCCAAUGUCCCCACUGUCUCCACUGCCCCCACUGUCCCCAAUGGCCCCAUUGUCUCCACUGUCCCCACUGCCCCCACUGUCCCAACGUCCCCAUUGUCUUCACUGU